rnacentral:rRNA from 1 species
UACGUAGGGAGCAAGCGUUGUCCGGAAUCAUUGGGCGUAAAGCGCGCGUAGGCGGCCCUGUAAGUCCGUUGUGAAAGUCAAAGGCUCAACCUUUGAAAGCCGAUGGAUACUGCAGGGCUAGAGUCCGGAAGAGGCGAGUGGAAUUCCUGGUGUAGCGGUGAAAUGCGCAGAUAUCAGGAGGAACACCAAUAGCGAAGGCAGCUCGCUGGGACGGUACUGACGCUAAGGCGCGAAAGCGUGGGGAGCGAACAGG